rnacentral:rRNA from 1 species
AUUGAACGCUGGCGGCAUGCUUUACACAUGCAAGUCGAACGGUAACAGGCCGCAAGGUGCUGACGAGUGGCGAACGGGUGAGUAAUGCAUCGGAACGUGCCCAGUCGUGGGGGAUAACGCAGCGAAAGCUGCGCUAAUACCGCAUACGAUCUAUGGAUGAAAGCGGGGGACCGUAAGGCCUCGCGCGAUUGGAGCGGCCGAUGUCAGAUUAGGUAGUUGGUGGGGUAAAGGCUCACCAAGCCAAGGAUCUGUAGCUGGUCUGAGAGGACGACCAGCCACACUGGGACUGAGACAGGGCCAAGACUCCUACGGGAGGCAGCAGUGGGGAAUUUUGGACAAUGGGCGCAAGCCUGAUCCAGCAAUGCCGCGUGCAGGAAGAAGGCCUUCGGGUUGUAAACUGCUUUUGUACGGAACGAAACGGCUCUGGUUAAUACCUGGGGCUAAUGACGGUACCGUAAGAAUAAGCACCGGCUAACUACGUGCCAGCCGCCGCAGUAAUAC